CUACGUGCCAGCAGCCGCGGUAAUACGUAGGUCCCGAGCGUUGUCCGGAUUUAUUGGGCGUAAAGCGAGCGCAGGCGGUUAGAUAAGUCUGAAGUUAAAGGCUGUGGCUUAACCAUAGUACGCUUUGGAAACUGUUUAACUUGAGUGCAAGAGGGGAGAGUGGAAUUCCAUGUGUAGCGGUGAAAUGCGUAGAUAUAUGGAGGAACACCGGUGGCGAAAGCGGCUCUCUGGCUUGUAACUGACGCUGAGGCUCGAAAGCGUGGGGAGCAAACAGGAUUAGAUACCCUGGUAGUCCACGCCGUAAACGAUGAGUGCUAGGUGUUAGACCCUUUCCGGGGUUUAGUGCCGUAGCUAACGCAUUAAGCACUCCGCCUAGGGAGUACGACCGCAAGGUUGAAACUCAAAGGAAUUGACGGGGGCCCGCACAAGCGGUGGAGCACGUGGUUUAAUUCGAAGCAACGCGAAGAACCUUACCAGGUCUUGAC
rnacentral:rRNA from 1 species